rnacentral:rRNA from 1 species
UACAGAGGUCUCAAGCGUUGUUCGGAUUCAUUGGGCGUAAAGGGUGCGUAGGUGGCGUGGUAAGUCGGGUGUGAAAUUUCGGAGCUUAACUCCGAAACUGCAUUCGAUACUGCUGUGCUUGAGGACUGGAGAGGAGACUGGAAUUUACGGUGUAGCAGUGAAAUGCGUAGAGAUCGUAAGGAAGACCAGCGGCGAAGGCGGGUCUCUGGACAGUUCCUGACACUGAGGCACGAAGGCCAGGGGAGCAAACGGG